UCUUAUAAAAUUUUCUCUUCACUUAAUAGGUAGAAUAUUCUACGAUCACACAAGACAUUUCUGUGCUUCUCUACUUCAUCCACCUUGUUCUUAUAUGCUAAUUCUUGAUGUAAACUUAAUUGUGAUAGGGAACUCACUUGUAAUGCUUCUACUUGUUUUCACACUAGUUACAAUUCCAUCAACUUAAUAUGCUCUAAAGGAACUCCUUUCUUUUCCAAAACCAACCACAUAACCUCUCUAGUGACCCUAACAUAUGAUUUCUCUAGGUCAUUAAAAACCAUAUUGCAAGCCUCUUUAUGUUUUUCCAUUACAUUUAAUUAAGAAUAAUAUUCACAUCCAGUGCAACGUGCAAUACCUCAAUUCUCAGCCAUAGAUUUAAUCUAAUGGCUUAAGCCUUUGACACCUCACCAAAUAACAAAAAGACUAUUUUGCCCUUAAAAAAUUUCACCCGCCCGCUGUUUCAGUUUCAGCCCUAACUUUUCAUAAACUCAAAAUUUUUUUUCUCUCUCUCUCCCCUGCGCAGCUGCGUCUCCUUCAGCCCAUUCUUUGCCUCUCCUUCAAUCCAUUGUCACAGCAGCCCGAUACCAGUCCACGCAAGGCCAAGCCUCUCUCUUUGCCAUCACUGUUGCUUCGAUGAUCGAAACCCAUGGUUACCAUUUUGUUUUAGUUUUGAUUAGUUUGAUAUUGGGUUUUCUUGAUGCGUGUAAAUUCUGGUGAUUUUGCUUGGGUUGGGUUUUUUUGGGUAUGGCAGAAUGUACUGCGAUUACAUGAAAAGUGACAUGCUUGUAGGUUGCUGUAUGUAUGGGUCUCUUGGCUUUGCCAUUUAAACAUUUUGAUAUUAGAUUUAUGAAUUUUAUUUUUCUUCCCUUGAUUUUUUUUACCAAAGAUCAUCAUUUUCUUUCAUUUAUAGGCACUAAAGAUUAUGACUUUCUUAGUUUCUUUCAUUGAAACAUUACUAUGCUUCUUAGCUUAAUAAUAAUUUCUGAAAUUGGAAUUUGUUACUAUUGAGAAAUAUAUUUGUUGCUGUAUGUAUGCUUUUUAUUUUUAUUUUUUAUCAAUGACUGAGACUUUGAAUUAUUAUUGAAAUUCCCAUGUGUAAGUUUAGAAAUUCCAAUUUCACAUUGAUACUAGAACUCCAAGCAAAUCGUAUUCAAAGUUGAAUUUUAAUCUACAACUCUAUAGUCUAGGACAGAACUAGAACAUGAUGCAGAGAUGCACAACUACUGAUAUUCUCAUUUAUUACUGUUUCAAAUGUUUUCUAUUGCUCCACUGGUUUGUGUUAGUAAAUCUUAUGGAUUGAGACUUCCUCGUGAAUUUGCACUUCUCAUGAAGCAGCUUCUAUAUUUGGACUGGUCCACCCGGUUGUUGGCUCCAAACUUGAAUAUGCUUCAAGACCAGAGGAUCUCCAUUGUUUCAAACUGAAGAAGCAAAUAUGGGGACAGUUUCAAAUGAACCUUGUUUAUAUAGAUAUACUUUCUCCUAGUCUUGAGGGAGGUCAUCAGAUUGUGAAAUGCACCGGGAUGCUCCCCUAAUAGGUUGAUUCUUUUCACUUCCUGCUGACAAGAGAAGGAUCUGGGCUCUAGCUAAGGUGAAGAACAGAGUUAAAAGGUUGAUUCUUUUCACUUCCUGCACCAAGAAGACUAUCAAUUUCAAUUGGCCAAUUCCAUUUCCAAUUUUGGCUAUGGGGAAUCCAAGAAUCAACUGACGGCUUUGUCAACAAUAAUGAGGACAUCUUGUAUUUAUCACCAUAAAUCUUGUGUAGAGGGGGAAAAAAGUAUGAAAUGGACUUGUUCCAUGGAAACAAAACACAUGGUGUUGUGUUUUAGCCUUCUGUUGUUGCUACGGAAUUGAAUAGCUGAGCAUGUUGUUGCAUUCAAGUUGUAGCUGAUUUCGUGUUGACGAAUAUAUGUAAUGUAUACAAUUUUGUUUCUGUUAUAAGCUUUCUUAAUGCAUUUUGAAUUUUUAUCUAGACUAAA